AAUAGAUACCCCGGUAGUCCACGCCGUAAACGAUGAGUGCUAAGUGUUAGAGGGUUUCCGCCCUUUAGUGCUGCAGCUAACGCAUUAAGCACUCCGCCUGGGGAGUACGGUCGCAAGACUGAAACUCAAAGGAAUUGACGGGGGCCCGCACAAGCGGUGGAGCAUGUGGUUUAAUUCGAAGCAACGCGAAGAACCUUACCAGGUCUUGACAUCCUCUGACAACUCUAGAGAUAGAGCGUUCCCCUUCGGGGGACAGAGUGACAGGUGGUGCAUGGUUGUCGUCAGCUCGUGUCGUGAGAUGUUGGGUUAAGUCCCGCAACGAGCGCAACCCUUGAUCUUAGUUGCCAGCAUUCAGUUGGGCACUCUAAGGUGACUGUCGGUGACAAACCGGAGGAAGGUGGGGAUGACGUCAAAUCAUCAUGCCCCUUAUGACCUGGGCUACACACGUGCUACAAUGGAUGGUACAAAGGGCUGCAAGACCGCGAGGUCAAGCCAAUCCCAUAAAACCAUUCUCAGUUCGGAUUGU
rnacentral:rRNA from 1 species